AUGGGGUCACCUGCUCUCCUGCUGUGGGUACUGCUGCUCUGGGUUCCAGGCACCACUGGGGACAUCCUACUGACCCAAUCUCCAGCUUCCUUGGCUGUGUCACUGGGGCAAAGGGUCACCAUUUCCUGCAAGGCCAGCCAGAGUGUCAGUGACUUCGUUUUCAAUUAUAUGAACUGGUACCAACAAAAACCAGGACAGCCCCCCAAAGUUCUCAUCUAUGGAGCAUCAAAUCUAGCAUCUGGGAUCCCUGACAGAUUCAGUGGCAUUGGGUCUGGGACAGACUUCACCCUCACCAUCCAUCCUGUGGAGGCUGAUGAUGCUGCAACCUAUUACUGUCAGCAGAGUAAGGAGCUUCCUCCCACAGUGCUCCAGGGCUGA